UCCGGGAUAGCCAAGCUGGGAAGGCGCCGCACUGUUAAUGCGGUCACGCGCAGGUUCGAAUCCUGCUCCCGGAGCCA
rnacentral:tRNA from 1 species